GAUGAACGCUAGCGGCAGGCCUAACACAUGCAAGUCGAGGGGCAGCACGUCUUCGGAUGGUGGCGACCGGCGCACGGGUGCGUAACGCGUAUGCAACCUACCUCUUACAGUGGGAUAGCCCAGAGAAAUUUGGAUUAAUACCGCAUAGUAUACAGAUUCAGCAUUGGGACUGUAUUAAACAUUUAUGGGUAAGAGAUGGGGCAUGCGUUCUAUUAGUUAGUUGGAGUGGUAACGGCACCCCAAGACAGCGAUAGAUAGGGGCCCUGAGAGGGGGAUCCCCCANACUGGUACUGAGACACGGACCAGACUCCUACGGGAGCAGCAGUGAGG
rnacentral:rRNA from 1 species